GCAUUAGUGAGAUCGUGAGGUCUUGGAGAUUUCUUCUUCAUUCUUGGAGAAUGACUAGUUCUGAACACUAAUAUUUUUCCUUCUCAUCAUUUUACUCUAUUAAUUCAGGCAUGUAAUGUGCAAACGUGCAAUAUGAAUUGAGGUAACACGGUUAAUUACAAAGUCUCUGAGUUUGAUAGUUUGAAGGCAAUUUUAACCGAGUGAAAAAUUGGUUGGUACUUUACCCAUUGUAAGUAAUGGAGUUAGACAAGGUUGCUAAUGGUUUACAUGUAAGAAGGGAUUAAGAUGGCGACCAAACUUUCUGUACUUUUUUUCAACAAUGUUUUAUUUUCUAUGAACAAAGGCUCAGUUUACUUUAGGUGAUAUAUGUUUGGAUCAAGGGACCAACGGGACUGCCACGGUCAAGUCCCUUGACGGGUACCAGGAAUGGUGGAAGGACAAUCUGAAGAAGACCUGAGCCCUAGGACCAUGCCUCAUGGCUACCUGGUCUGAUGACUCCUUGCUGUCCCCAGUCCACCUGGUCAUGCUGCUGCUCCAGUUUCAACUGUUCUGCCUGCAGCUACGCAACCCUGACCUGUUCACCGGACGUGCUACUUUGUCCCAGACCUGCUGUUUUCGACUCUCUGUACCGCACCUGCUGUCUCUAACUCUGAAUGAUUGGCUAUGAAAAGCCAAACUGACAUUUAAUGCUGAGGUGCUGACCUGUUGCACCCUCUGACAACCACUGUGAUUAUUAUUUGACUGGUCAUCUAUGAACAUUUGAACAUCUUGGCCAUGUACUGUUAUAAUCUCCACCCAGCACAGCACAGCCAGAAGAGAACUGGCCACCCCUCAAUGCCGGGUUCCUCUCUAGGUUUCUUCCUAGGUUCCUGCCUUUCUAGGGAGUUUUUCCUAGCUACCGUGCUUCGACAUCUGUAUUGCUUGCUGUUUGGGGUUUUAGGCUGAGUUUCUGUACAGCACUUUGACAUCGGCUGAUGUAAAAAAAAAAGGGCUUUAUAAACACAUUUGAUUGAAUGAUAACUGAAAGCCCUCCAAACUAUGAUCAUAUAUAUUUUCAAAUACUUGCAUAUAUUCAAAUACCUUCAAAUAUUACAUAUCUUUCUGAGAGGUAUUCAAAACACUUUUUUUCUGAGACCUGUAUUUGAAUUUCAAAGGAAAUAGUUGCCUUUAGUUGGUUCUCAAAGUUGGCAUUUGAAAUAAACUACAAAGUACAAUGAUA